rnacentral:tRNA from 1 species
GCCUAGUUAGCUUAGUUGGGUAGCGCGUCCUGCCUUGUAAGCGCAAGCCGCGGGUUCGAUUCCCGCCUGGGCC